UACGUAGGGUGCAAGCGUUGUCCGGAAUUAUUGGGCGUAAAGAGCUCGUAGGUGGCCUGUCGCGUCGGCUGUGAAAAACUCGGGGGCUCAACUCCCGAGCUUGCAGUCGAUACGGGCAGGCUAGAGUUCGGCAGGGGGAGACUGGAAUUCCUGGUGUAGCGGUGAAAUGCGCAGAUAUCAGGAGGAACACCGGUGGCGAAGGCGGGUCUCUGGGCCGAUACUGACACUGAGGAGCGAAAGCGUGGGGAGCGAACAGG
rnacentral:rRNA from 1 species